rnacentral:rRNA from 1 species
UGGGGAAUUUUCCGCAAUGGGCGAAAGCCUGACGGAGCAAUACCGCGUGAGGGAGGAAGGCUUUUGGGUUGUAAACCUCUUUUCUCAAGGAAGAAGAUCUGACGGUACUUGAGGAAUCAGCAUCGGCUAACUCCGUGCCAGCAGCCGCGGUAAUACGGAGGAUGCAAGCGUUAUCCGGAAUGAUUGGGCGUAAAGCGUCUGCAGGUGGCUAUGCAAGUCUGCUGUUAAAGAGUGGAGCUCAACUCCAUAAGGGCAGUGGAAACUGCGUAACUAGAGUACGUUCGGGGUAGAGGGAAUUCCUGGUGUAGCGGUGAAAUGCGUAGAUAUCAGGAAGAACACCGGUGGCGAAAGCGCUCUACUAGGCCGUAACUGACACUGAGAGACGAAAGCUAAGGGAGCGAAUGGGAUUAGAUACCCCCGUAGUCC